UACGGAGAGUGCGAACGUUGUUCGGAUUCACUGGGCGUAAAGGGCGCGUAGGUGGCGCGGGCAGUCAACGGUGAAAGUUCGGGGCUCAACCCUGAAUCGGCCGUCGAUACUCCCGGGCUUGAGCACUGUAGAGGCAGAUGGAAUUCCGGGUGUAGCGGUGGAAUGCGUAGAGAUCCGGAAGAACACCGGUGGCGAAGGCGGUCUGCUGGGCAGUAGCUGACACUGAGGCGCGACAGCGUGGGGAGCAAACAGG
rnacentral:rRNA from 1 species